rfam:Granulicatella elegans ATCC 700633 genomic scaffold supercont2.1, whole genome shotgun sequence.
UAUCUUUUUAAAAUAGUCCAGUGAGGCUAACAAGGGAUUGAAUUUAACGUUACAAGCUUAUUUGAGUAUAGAGUUUUUGCAUCACCAUUCAAAUAAUACCUUAAAUUUAACAUACCUUGUAGUCUAUGGAUUACAAGGUAUUUUUUUAU